UGGGGAAUUUUGGACAAUGGGCGCAAGCCUGAUCCAGCCAUGCCGCGUGCGGGAAGAAGGCCUUCGGGUUGUAAACCGCUUUUGUCGGGAAGAAAUGCUCUGGGUUAACACCCUGGGGAGAUGACGGUACCCGAAGAAUAAGCACCGGCUAACUACGUGCCAGCAGCCGCGGUAAUACGUAGGGUGCAAGCGUUAAUCGGAAUUACUGGGCGUAAAGCGUGCGCAGGCGGUCAUACAAGACAGAUGUGAAAUCCCCGGGCUCAACCUGGGAACUGCAUUUGUGACUGUAUGGCUGGAGUACGGUAGAGGGGGAUGGAAUUCCGCGUGUAGCAGUGAAAUGCGUAGAUAUGCGGAGGAACACCGAUGGCGAAGGCAGUCCCCUGGACCUGUACUGACGCUCAUGCACGAAAGCGUGGGGAGCAAACA
rnacentral:rRNA from 1 species